AACCUCACCCUUCCUUGUUUUUCCCGCCUAUAUACCACCGUCGUCAGCUUACCCUGUGAAGGACGAAUAGUAAGCACAAUUGGCACAGCCCAAUACGUCAGGUCGAGGUGUAGUGCAUGAGAGGGGAAGAAAUGGGCUACAUUCGCUAGCAACUAGCGAAUACGAAUGAUGUGUUGAAAUACACAGCUGAAGGAGGAUUUAGCAGUAAGCAAGAAGCAGAGUGUCUUGCUGAAACCGGCUCUAAAGCGCGCACACACCGCCCGUCACCCUCCCCAAGCUCCCCGGACCAUCUUUAACUAAAGCCCUACAACUGCAAAGGAGAGGAAAGUCGUAACAUGGUAAGCGUACCGGAAGGUGCGCUUGGUAAAAU
rnacentral:rRNA from 1 species